rnacentral:rRNA from 1 species
GACGAACGCUGGCGGCGUGCUUAACACAUGCAAGUCGAGCGACUGCAUUCUUUUCGGAGGGUGUAUGGAGCGGCGAACGGGUGAGUAACACGUGAGUAAUCUGCCUUUGGCUUGGGAAUAACUUCGGGAAAUCGGGGCUAAUGCCUGAUGUUUACUGUCUGCUGCAUGGUGGGUGGUGGAAAGAUUUUUUGGCCAGGGAUGAGCUCGCGGUCUAUCAGCUUGNGGUGGGGUAAUGGCUUACCAAGGCUUUGACGGGUAGCCGGCCUGAGAGGGUGUUCGGCCACACUGGGACU